rnacentral:rRNA from 1 species
UACGAAGGGGGCGAGCGUUGUUCGGAAUUACUGGGCGUAAAGGGCGUGUAGGCGGCCGGUUAAGUCGGAUGUGAAAGCCCGGGGCUCAACCUCGGAACUGCAUUCGAUACUGACUGGCUAGUGGACGGAAGAGGUGAGUGGAAUUCCCGGUGGAGAGGUGAAAUUCGUAGAGAUCGGGAAGAACACCAGCGGCGAAGGCGGCUCACUGGUCCGUUCCAGACGCUAAGGCGCGAAAGCGUGGGGAGCAAACAGG